UGGCAUACUAGAAAAAGACCAAAUACAAGCCAUCAGGAAAGGCACCAGCACUAGUGUCCACUGCUCCCACCUGUCAACUGGAAACUGGUUAUCAACCAGAAUUCUUGUUCUCAUAGCAAAUUUUACAUUAGAUACUUCUGUUCAGCCCUGGAUUCAGAAUUGAGCUUUACUUAUUUUUGUUUCCAUUUUAAAAUGGAUUCUUCUUGUCUUUUGUAGUUGGUUUUUUUUUUUUCCUAAUGCAAGCACUUAGAUAAAAUGGAUUGUAAGGCUGAGUUGUAGUUACAUUUGUUGUUGUAGUUAGAUCUGAUCAGUCCAGAUCAGCUGAAGUAGUCCUGGUUUGGAUUUUUCUUUUCUUUAAAAAGAACAAAGGAUUCUAGUUUCAGCAAACAGCUACUAGAGUGAUGUAUUUUAAACAGACGUACCUUAUUACCAUCACAGAGCAAAAGCACUCUCAUUAAAUUCAAAUGCAUAUUCCCCACAGCUUUUUUUAAACACUGGAACAGUUUCAACACUGCAAUUGUGAGAAGUGGAAAGAGAGAGGAUGAUUUUUCACUGAGCAGAAAGCUAGCACACAAGUACCAUCUAACUUCUCUCAAUGUCAUUGGGCAACUCAGAGGGUUAAUUUUCUUUAAACAUCCAGGGUAGCUUUUCCUUUUUCUGCAGUCAGUUCCAUUGUCCACACUGACCUACUGCUGUCAUGCUACCUCCAUAGAAAAAAAAAAGCCUCUCCUGUUCUCCCCAAGAGCACAGCUCCCACAGUCCGUAGGUAUCUGUAGUGGUAUCAGCACUGCUGUUAACACUACCACACAGGUUACAUAUGUGCAUGGCUGCUUAAGGGUGCUAUGACACUUCCUUGAGGACAGAUAUAACCAAGUCCUGGUUUCAGCAUAAUUUAUUAUUUCUGGGUUAAUAUGUGUGCAAGCUGAAAGGGUUAAAUGCCCCAGAUGCAAAUCACCCAUGCUGUGAAAAUGGCACUAGGAAUACUGGGACAGAAACUAGACCUUGUGCUUCUGGAGGAGCUUGUUUUAUAAGCCAUGAAGAGUUAAGGUGAGUUUUCACUUACUCUGUCUGCCCCUUCUGCUUAAUCCUCUGCUAUUGGCUUUAUUGCAGGGUGCUGAAGUGGAACAAAGGGGUCCUCCUGCCCCAGGCAGAAGCCUCUUCACUGGAAACACAUGGUCUGCCAUGCCUUGCAGGGACCCAGGUACGUGUGUGCUUCCAGCCCCACUGGCCUUUCCCAGGUUCAUAUCCCCUGUUAGCACUUCAGUCGUGCAAGGUGUUGAAAAGCAGCUCUGCGUCUGAACCUCAUUAACAAAAAUAAGAAUAUAUAAGCUGCUGACAGGGCAAACCCAGACGUCUACGCAUAAGUGACCAGCCGUGACUACAGAAGCGAGAGUGUAAAUACAAUGACAAGCAAAUAGCGGUGGCUUUUGCCCUUUAUUGGGAGAAGUAUCUGCUUUGGCAUGCUCCCAAACCCAUCACUGCGGGUUUCGUGUGGUAAGGAGCCCUACCAAUGAUGGGAGAUGAUGAACAGCAAAAACUGACUUGCUGUCUUCAUGCUGCUUGGCGAAUGUCAUUCAAAAAGCCUGCUUCAUCUCUCCCGUGUACAGGUUAUAUGAUACCUUUGAGCUACUUGACCUGGGACACCUUUUCCACCUCUACCCCAUCCUUGAGACUGGGAGCCAGGGCUGCGCACAGUGUUAACAGUGCAGGCAUGCCACUAGUGCCUGGCCUGGCAUGACUGUUUUCUGCUUUUUCAUUGCGCUUCUCAUCAUUUGUAGUAUUUCAUGCUGGAAAGUAUUAUAUACUUGUUUUCAUAGUUGUUUGUUUAGCACUGUAUUCUCUUUCCCAAGCGGAACAGUCAGCUCAGAGGUCAUCACCAUACACAUGACUUAGCAUGCCAUGUUCUUGCCACAUGUAUCACUCCACAUGUGCUGCUCUGAACCUCACUUUGACAGGAUAACUGUCUGAGUGUCCCAAAGCAUUUGGAAACCAUCAGUUAAGCUUGAAAGUGCUCAGCAGAGGCAGACCAGUAUUAUCAACCCUGCAAAUGAAGGCAGGCAGGGACACAGGAUAAGUAACUUGUCUGAAGCCACAUGGGAAAUCAGUGGCAGAGCUGGGAAUAGUCCAAAUCCCGCUUGCUCUACCCAGCAAACUCUCCCUCUAGUAUGCAAGUAGCUUGAGAUACAAAUAAUGCUUUUGGAAAGAAGAGGCCUAUCUGCUCCUGUAUGUGUGUCAGCAAUGUUCAGGGAGCCGACGAGGACCGACACCUUCUUGUGCUCCUCCCUUCUCCAGAGCUUUGUAAAACACCUGUUCCUGCUUUCAAGAUUCCUCCAGCCUGUCAAAGUAUAUACAGAAGCUUGGGUACAGAUGCUCAGCCCAGUCUAGCAGUGAUCCUAGGGAGCUCUCCUGGGGAUCCAUAGUGAGGUCCAGCCCAGAAAAUGGCAAGUGCUUUCCAGAGCCUUGCACUGGUGAGGAACCCAGCUUGGGCCACAGCCAGGGACCCAGCAGAGUGCAUUUAUAAACUGCUCUGCCACCAGUGCUGGGUCUGCUGUUAUGACUCACCUGGGAAAGGAGCAGUGAAUGUUGUGUUAUUUCAUAUUAAGCAUACAAGCUCUAUUCACAUGUGCAGGUAGGUGAUGUAAGCUGACCUCUGUGUGUAACAGAUGUCUGUUCAAUUAAAACCAAAACAAACUCUGUUUUUAUUUUAAAAAAAUCCCUAAGAGUCUACUAUGUCUUGGAAAUAGGAAGUGUGACCUUAUUUAGCUUUAGUAUAUUUACUUAAAAUCUUUCAAAUGACAUAAUUUUUUUUAAAUGAAAGAAAAGCUCUGCAGAGGCAGCACUGGACAAUAUACAGGGGUAGGUAAGUUUGCAUACAAUAACAACAUGAAUGUGAAAUUUCUGUUUGCAAGUGGUUUGCUUACAUGGGAAACCUGUCAUGUUUUCCCUUGAACUGAUGGUUUAGCAACAGUGGUCUAUGGACAGAGUGGUUUUGCCUACCUCCUACCACCUGUCUAAAGAAAAUUAAAGAAAGUGAUUAAUCUGGUAUUAUUUAAGACUUGUUAGUUUAUAUGCAGUCUCACUAUGCCUGCCACUUUUAAAAUACAAAGCGCUGGUUGUGAGGUGCAGCAAGGCUUUUACACAAAGCAAAGUCUAAGAGUACAGUACAAUGAAUUUACUGGAUUCACUUUUCUUCAAAAGGACCAGAACCAUCUGGAGAGUCAGAAACAUAGCAGUAUCUCCACUUAGAGAAGGCUGUGUCUGAGGAUCUUGGAAGACUCCCUUCACAUGACAUACCUGCCCUAGCUUCCAAGAUGCAGAACAUCGCCACUCUUAGGAAAGCUGGUGCUGUACCAAGAAGCCAAACCAAGCCCCAGGACAGCACAAGCCAAGUCUACAGCCUCCUGCCUGUUGGAGCCUCUGAUGUGCCAGCCAGCACAGACCUGCACCUUGGGUUAUUGCAGAGACCACCAGAACACUGCCAGCUCAGAGGCAAAGCUCUCCCAGUCCCACAACCAUGACACUAAGCUGCCUGAUCACCAGCACUUGCUUCAGCCAUUGCAAACCUCACCAGCAUCCCUCUUUCUCCUCACCACUGCUGUGAAAAGCACAAUGUCAACCACAGGAGUAAUACCUGGAGAAGUUUCUGAAGUGCUGUUUUCUUAACUGCUCGGUAUGUGCUAGACACCUUCUUAUUAUUUAGAGAAUGCCCAACUGGAGAAGUGUUUACAGCUGACACACCUGAACCAGAACUUGCCCAACAGAUGCAGGAAUCUCUACUCAGUUCUCCUGGGGGGCAGGGGGGGAAUGGGGUGUGGGGUGUUCUUAGACAUACUUCUCUUUGUUGGUGCUUACUCCUCUACCCAUGGAGAACCAAGACCUCAAGGGGUGAUCAAGAAGCCAAGCUCAUCAAUUAAGGGUAUAAGAAACCUUUCUGUUACCAAGUGAAUAAAGUAACACCUGACAGGUA